rnacentral:rRNA from 1 species
CAAUAGCGUAUAUUAAAGUUGUUGCGGUAAAAAAGCUCGUAGUUGGAUUUCUACCGAAGAUAGCCGGUCGGGUCUUCGACCUUGUAUCUGGUUUUGUCUUUGGUAUACUCAUAGGGAACGUUUCUGCGCUUUAUUGCGUGGUGCGGUAUCUAUGACUUUUACUUUGAGGAAAUUAGAGUGUUCACGGCAGGCAAACGCCUUGAAUAUAUUAGCAUGGAAUAAUAACAUAGGAUCUUCGUCCUAUUUUGUUGGUUUCUAGGGCUAAGAUAAUGAUUAAUAGGGAUAAUUGGGGGCAUCUGUAUCAACGCGUCAGAGGUGGAAUUCUUGGAUUGCGUUGCGACAAACUACUGCGAAAGCAUUUGCCAAGGAUGUUUUCAUUGA